rnacentral:rRNA from 1 species
UACGAAGGGGGCUAGCGUUGUUCGGAAUCACUGGGCGUAAAGGGUGCGUAGGCGGGUCUUUAAGUUAGAGGUGAAAGCCUGGAGCUCAACUCCAGAAUUGCCUUUAAGACUGCCGAGCUAGCAGGUGAGAGAGGUGAGUGGAAUUCCGAGUGUAGAGGUGAAAUUCGUAGAUAUUCGGAAGAACACCAGUGGCGAAGGCGGCUCACUGGCUCAUACUGGACGCUGAGGUGCGAAAGCGUGGGGAGCAAACAGG